rfam:Populus trichocarpa scaffold_9_contig_74, whole genome shotgun sequence.
UUUAGAAAUCGAGAUACGGGUUGAAUAUCGAAUAGUGUCUAAGUAGCAGGACAAAUUCAGACUUCUUUUUGUUGCUAAGAUUUGAAUUUGAAAAUGAUAGUUUUGAAUCUUGAACUCUUCAUGAAUGUUUUAAGCUUAUGUCUUAGCUUUCUAUC